rnacentral:misc_RNA from 1 species
UUUCCGUAGGUGAACCUGCGGAAGGAUCAUUCAUAAUAAGUGUUUUAUGGCACUUUUUAAAUCCAUAUCCACCUUGUGUGCAAUGUCAGACGUUCUCUUCUAUGGGAACGACCAAACAUCAACCAACUCUUUAACUCUUUGUCUGAAAAAUAUUACGAUUAAAAUACAUCAAAAUACAACUUUCAACAACGGAUCUCUUGGCUCUC